CCCUUCGGGGUACACGAGCGGCGAACGGGUGAGUAACACGUGGGUGAUCUGCCUUGCACUUCGGGAUAAGCCUGGGAAACUGGGUCUAAUACCGGAUAUGACCUCUGAAUGCAUGUUCUGGGGUGGAAAGAUUUAUCGGUGCGAGAUGGGCCCGCGGCCUAUCAGCUUGUUGGUGAGGUAACGGCUCACCAAGGCGACGACGGGUAGCCGACCUGAGAGGGUGACCGGCCACACUGGGACUGAGACACGGCCCAGACUCCUACGGGAGGCAGCAGUGGGGAAUAUUGCACAAUGGGCGAAAGCCUGAUGCAGCGACGCCGCGUGCGGGAUGACGGCCUUCGGGUUGUAAACCGCUUUUGACAGGGACGAAGCGCAAGUGACUGUACCUGUAGAAUAAGGACCGGCCAACUACGUGCCAGCAGCCGCGGUAAUACGUAGGGUCCGAGCGUUGUCCGGAAUUACUGGGCGUAAAGAGCUUGUAGGCGGUUCGUCGCGUCGUUUGUGAAAACUUGGGGCUCAACCUUAAGCUUGCAGGCGAUACGGGCGGACUAGAGUACUUCAGGGGAGACUGGAAUUCCUGGUGUAGCGGUGAAAUGCGCAGAUAUCAGGAGGAACACCGGUGGCGAAGGCGGGUCUCUGGGAAGUAACUGACGCUGAGAAGCGAAAGCAUGGGUAGCAAACAGGAUUAGAUACCCUGGUAGUCCAUGCCGUAAACGGUGGGUACUAGGUGUGGGGCUCCUUCCACGGACUCCGUGCCGUAGCUAACGCAUUAAGUACCCCGCCUGGGGAGUACGGCCGCAAGGCUAAAACUCAAAGAAAUUGACGGGGGCCCGCACAAGCGGCGGAGCAUGUGGAUUAAUUCGAUGCAACGCGAAGAACCUUACCUGGGUUUGACAUACACCGGAAACCUGCAGAGAUGUAGGCCCCCUUGUGGUCGGUGUACAGGUGGUGCAUGGCUGUCGUCAGCUCGUGUCGUGAGAUGUUGGGUUAAGUCCCGCAACGAGCGCAACCCUUAUCUUAUGUUGCCAGCGCGUAAUGGCGGGGACUCGUGAGAGACUGCCGGGGUCAACUCGGAGGAAGGUGGGGACGACGUCAAGUCAUCAUGCCCCUUAUGUCCAGGGCUUCACACAUGCUACAAUGGCCGGUACAGAGGGCUGCGAGACCGUGAGGUGGAGCGAAUCCCUUAAAGCCGGUCUCAGUUCGGAUCGGGGUCUGCAACUCGACCCCGUGAAGUUGGAGUCGCUAGUAAUCGCAGAUCAGCAACGCUGCGGUGAAUACGUUCCCGGGCCUUGUACACACCGCCCGUCACGUCAUGAAAGUCGGUAACACCCGAAGCCGGUGGCCUAACC
rnacentral:rRNA from 1 species